rnacentral:ncRNA from 1 species
UGACCUCGAAUCAGGUAGGGAUACCCGCUGAACUUAAGCAUAUCAAUAAGCGGAGGAAAAGAAACCAACAGGGAUUACCUCAGUAACGGCGAGUGAAGCGGUAACAGCUCAAAUUUGAAAUCUGGUCCGGUUACGGGCCCGAGUUGUAAUUUGUAGAAGAUGCUUUGGUAAUGAGUCCGGCCUAAGUUCCUUGGAACAGGACGUCAUAGAGGGUGAGAACCCCGUAUGCGGCCGAGUACUCAGUGCCAUGUAAAGCUCUUUCGACGAGUCGAGUUGUUUGGGAAUGCAGCUCAA